rnacentral:rRNA from 1 species
GAUGAACGCUGGCGGCGUGCUUAACACAUGCAAGUCGAACGAAGACAUCUGAGUGCUUGCACUUGGAUGGACUGAGUGGCGGACGGGUGAGUAACGCGUGGGUAACCUGCCUUAUACAGGGGGAUAACAGUUGGAAACGACUGCUAAUACCGCAUAAGCGCACGGUAUCGCAUGAUACAGUGUGAAAAACUCCGGUGGUAUAAGAUGGACCCGCGUCUGAUUAGCUUGUUGGUGAGGUAACGGCCCACCAAGGCGACGAUCAGUAGCCGGCCUGAGAGGGUGAACGGCCACAUUGGGACUGAGACACGGCCCAAACUCCUACGGGAGGCAGCAGUGGGGAAUAUUGCACAAUGGGGGAAACCCUGAUGCAGCGACGCCGCGUGAGUGAUGAAGUAUUUCGGUAUGUAAAACUCUAUCAGCAGGGAAGAUAAUGACGGUACCUGACUAAGAAGCACCGGCUAAAUACGUGC